AUUGAACGCUGGCGGAAUGCUUUACACAUGCAAGUCGGGCGGCAGCGCGGGGGCGAACCCUCGGCGGCGAGCGGCGAACGGGUGAGUAAUACAUCGGAACGUGUCCUUGAGUGGGGGAGUAGCUCGGCGAAAGCCGGAUUAAUACCGCAUAAGCUCUGAGGAGGAAAGCGGGGGACUGGUAACGGCCUCGCGCUGUUGGAGCGGCCGAUGUCGGAUUAGCUAGUUGGUGGGGUAAAGGCCCCACCAAGGCGACGAUCCGUAGCUGGUCUGAGAGGAUGAUCAGCCACACUGGAACUGAGACACGGUCCAGACUCCUACGGGAGGCAGCAGUGGGGAAUUUUGGACAAUGGGGGCAACCCUGAUCCAGCCAUUCCGCGUGAGUGAAGAAGGCC
rnacentral:rRNA from 1 species